rnacentral:tRNA from 2 species
AUUUAAGUAGUUUAUGAAAAUAAAGAAUUGUGGUUUCUUAGAUGGUAGUUACCCUUAAAUU